UACGUAGGGUGCAAGCGUUGUCCGGAAUUAUUGGGCGUAAAGAGCUCGUAGGCGGUUUGUCGCGUCUGCUGUGAAAACCCGAGGCUCAACCUCGGGCCUGCAGUGGGUACGGGCAGACUAGAGUGCGGCAGGGGAGAUUGGAAUUCCUGGUGUAGCGGUGGAAUGCGCAGAUAUCAGGAGGAACACCAAUGGCGAAGGCAGCUCGCUGGGACGUUACUGACACUGAGGCGCGAAAGCGUGGGGAGCGAACAGG
rnacentral:rRNA from 1 species